GAUGAACGCUGGCGGCGUGCCUAAUACAUGCAAGUCGAGCGAACAGACGAGGAGCUUGCUCCUCUGACGUUAGCGGCGGACGGGUGAGUAACACGUGGAUAACCUACCUAUAAGACUGGGAUAACUUCGGGAAACCGGAGCUAAUACCGGAUAAUAUAUUGAACCUCAUGGUUCAAUAGUGAAAGACGGUUUUGCUGUCACUUAUAGAUGGAUCCGCGCCGCAUUAGCUAGUUGGUAAGGUAACGGCCUACCAAGGCAACGAUGCGUAGCCGACCUGAGAGGGUGAUCGGCCACACUGGAACUGAGACACGGUCCAGACUCCUACGGGAGGCAGCAGUAGGGAAUCUUCCGCAAUGGGCGAAAGCCUGACGGAGCAACGCCGCGUGAGUGAUGAAGGUCUUCGGAUCGUAAAACUCUGUUAUUAGGGAAGAACAAAUGUGUAAGUAACUAUGCACGUCUUGACGGUACCUAAUCAGAAAGCCACGGCUAACUACGUG
rnacentral:rRNA from 1 species